CGAAGAACCUAAAAUUCACUUUCAGUGGUAUCAGAGCCAGGUUCAUGUUUAAACUUUUAUGUUUUAAUUUUUGCAAUUAAAUCUGAAAUCAUGAGCAUGCUUAGAUUAGAUCUAAAGUAUUUUUUUAUGAUUGAUUUAACUGCUGAUUAUGCAUGAUUAACUAGAUCUGAAAUUUUGAAUGCAUAUGAUGCAUGUUUGUGUUAAGAU
rnacentral:lncRNA from 1 species